rnacentral:rRNA from 1 species
GGGCCCGCACAAGCGGUGGAGCAUGUGGUUUAAUUCGAUGCAACGCGAAGAACCUUACCAGGGCUUGACAUACUACGAAUUUUCUUGAAAGAGAAAAGUGCCUUCGGGAAUGUAGAUACAGGUGGUGCAUGGCUGUCGUCAGCUCGUGUCGUGAGAUGUUGGGUUAAGUCCCGCAACGAGCGCAACCCUUAUUUUUAGUUACCAAUUCGUUGGGUUCUCUAGAAAGACUGCCGGUGACAAACCGGAGGAAGGUGAGGAUGACGUCAAGUCAGCAUGCCCCUUAUGUCCUGGGCUACACACGUGCUACAAUGGCCGGUACAGAGGGCUGCAAUACCGCAAGGUGGAGCGAAUCCCAAAAAGCCGGUCUCAGUUCGGAUUGAGGUCUGCAACUCGACCUCAUG